rnacentral:rRNA from 1 species
GAUGAACGCUGGCGGCGUGCCUAAUACAUGCAAGUCGAGCGAACGGACGAGAAGCUUGCUUCUCUGAUGUUAGCGGCUGACGGGUGAGUAACACGUGGAUAACCUACCUAUAAGACUUGGAUAACUUCGUGAAACCGGAGCUAAUACCGGAUAAUAUUUUGAACCGCAUGGUUCAAAAGUGAAUGACGGUCUUGCUGUCUCUUAUAGAUGGAUCCGCGCUGCAUUAGCUAGUUGGUAAGGUAACGGCUUACCAAGGCAACGAUGCAUAGCCGACCUGAGAGGGUGAUCGGCCACACUGGAACUGAGACACGGUCCAGACUCCUACGGGAGGCAGCAGUAGGGAAUCUUCCGCAAUGGGCGAAAGCCUGACGGAGCAACGCCGCGUGAGUGAUGAAGGUCUUCGGAUCGUAAAACUCUGUUAUUAGGGAAGAACAGAUGUGUAAGUAACUGUGCACAUCUUGACGGUACCUAAUCAGAAAGCCACGGCUAACUACGUG